UACGGGGGGGGCAAGCGUUGUUCGGAAUUACUGGGCGUAAAGGGCUCGUAGGUGGCCAACUAAGUCAGACGUGAAAUCCCUCGGCUUAACCGGGGAACUGCGUCUGAUACUGGAUGGCUUGAGUUCGGGAGAGGGAUGCGGAAUUCCAGGUGUAGCGGUGAAAUGCGUAGAUAUCUGGAGGAACACCGGUGGCGAAGGCGGCCUGCUGGGCAGUUUAGCUGACACUGAGGCGCGACAGCGUGGGGAGCAAACAGGGAUAAG
rnacentral:rRNA from 1 species